rnacentral:lncRNA from 1 species
ACUGUUUCAAUCCACCAAAAUACAUAGAUGUUAGAACGAUGACUGGUAAAGGCCCGGGAAAGAAUAAAACAAACAACGAAGUAGUUAGAAAUGUUAAUAGGUCUCAAAUGAGUCUAUGAGGUUAGAAGAGUUACGAGUUAUACCUGUGGAAGAAGGAAUACCCUUUUUGCCGAAUCAGAGAUUAGAACAUUGUAGGGAAUGUUAUUCUCUUGCAGGCAAAUGCAAGAACCAGAGACAACAUUGGCGAAAUCCUCCAAAGUAUUUCCACCCUCAAAGACAAGUCCUCGAACUGGAUAAUUCAGCAUCUCAGAUAUCUUCGCAGGAACCAGAGACAACAUUGGCCAAAUCCUCCAAAGUAUUUCCACCUUCAAAGACAAGGCCUCGAACUGGAUAAUUCAGCAUCUCAGAUAUCAUCACGCCAGCAUCAGCAAAGAUUAUCUUCCGCGUGGGGGCCUUCUCCAUGGGGAAUGGC